AUUGAACGCUGGCGGCAUGCCUUACACAUGCAAGUCGAACGGCAGCACGGGAGCAAUCCUGGUGGCGAGUGGCGAACGGGUGAGUAAUGUAUCGGAACGUGCCCAGUCGUGGGGGAUAACGCAGCGAAAGCUGUGCUAAUACCGCAUACGAUCUAUGGAUGAAAGCGGGGGAUCGCAAGACCUCGCGCGAUUGGAGCGGCCGAUAUCAGAUUAGGUAGUUGGUGGGGUAAAGGCCCACCAAGCCGACGAUCUGUAGCUGGUCUGAGAGGACGACCAGCCACACUGGAACUGAGACACGGUCCAGACUCCUACGGGAGGCAGCAGUGGGGAAUUUUGGACAAUGGGCGCAAGCCUGAUCCAGCAAUGCCGCGUGCAGGAUGAAGGCCUUCGGGUUGUAAACUGCUUUUGUACGGAACGAAACGGCUCUCUCUAAUACAGGGGGCUAAUGACGGUACCGUAAGAAUAAGCACCGGCUAACUACGUGCCAGCAGCCGCAGUAA
rnacentral:rRNA from 1 species